UACAGGGGGGGCAAGCGUUGUUCGGAAUUACUGGGCGUAAAGGGCUCGUAGGCGGCCAACUAAGUCCGACGUGAAAUCCCAAAGCUUAACUUUGGAACUGCGUCGGAUACUGGAUGGCUUGAAUUCGGGAGAGGGAUGCAGAAUUCCAGGUGUAGCGGUGAAAUGCGUAGAUAUCUGGAGGAAUACCGGUGGCGAAGGCAGGUCUCUGGGCCACUACUGACGCUGAGAAGCGAAAGCAUGGGGAGCGAACAGG
rnacentral:rRNA from 1 species